GCCGAUGUAGCUCAGUUGGUAGAGCACGAUAUUGGUAAUAUCGAGGUCUCCGGUUCAAUCCCGGACAUCGGCU
rnacentral:tRNA from 1 species